GACGAACGCUGGCGGCGUGCCUAAUACAUGCAAGUAGAACGCUGAAGGAGGAGCUUGCUCUUCUGGAUGAGUUGCGAACGGGUGAGUAACGCGUAGGUAACCUGCCUGGUAGCGGGGGAUAACUAUUGGAAACGAUAGCUAAUACCGCAUAACAGUAGAUGUUUCAUGACAUUUGCUUCAAAGGUGCCAUUGCAUCACUACCAGAUGGCCCUGCGUUGUAUUAGCUAGUUGGUGGGGUAACGGCUCACCAAGGCGACGAUACAUAGCCGACCUGAGAGAGUGAUCGGCCACACUGGGACUGAGACACGGCCCAGACUCCUACGGGAGGCAGCAGUAGGGAAUCUUCGGCAAUGGACGGAAGUCUGACCGAGCAACGCCGCGUGAGUGAAGAAGGUUUUCGGAUCGUAAAGCUCUGUUGUAAGAGAAGAACGAGUGUGAGAGUGGAAAGUUCACGCUGUGACGGUAUCUUACCAGAAAGGGACGGCUAACUACGUGCCAGCCGCCGCGGUAA
rnacentral:rRNA from 1 species